rnacentral:misc_RNA from 1 species
GAUUGUGCAACUUCUGAUCCUGAUGGCCGGAAGAGAGCUCUUGUAAUUGGAGGAGGAAUUGCUAACUUCACUGAUGUAGCAGCUACAUUUAAUGGCAUUAUUCGAGCCUUGAAGGAAAAGGAAUCUAAGCUUAAAGCAGCAAGGAUGCACAUAUAUGUGAGGAGAGGAGGUCCUAAUUAUCAGAGAGGCCUUGCAAAAAUGAGAUCACUCGGAGAAGAAAUUGGAAUUCCAAUUGAGGUUUACGGGCCUGAAGCAACAAUGACCGGUAUAUGCAAGCAGGCAAUUGAUUGCAUCUCCGCGGCUGCAUAAAUGGCUGACUCCUGAUAACCAUCUAUGUUCUCUUACUUCGUUUUCUCAUAUCAAAUUUCUGAGCAUCAUCUUGGAUCUUUAGUAGCAUUUUCUUUGUAGCAGAAACCCCACAAAGUAAUGUUAGUUGUUGAUGGACCAUAAGUAAUGGAAUAAUGCUGGGAACAGUAACAUUAAACUAGAGAUUACGAUUUGACUU